UGGGAGGUCUCUUUUAUAGAUGGGGGAGCGUAACCGCUUGACAGCGACGUCCGUAACUGUCUGGUAGUGGGCCGUUCAGGGCCGCGUGGGGUUUGUUACGGAGAAUGGAGUAGUGGGGCCACGUAGAGUCUGUUACAGAGAGUGAAGUGGUGUCCGUUGUCGCGACUUGCCGGAGAGUGGCAGGGCCAUGUGGGGUUUGUUACAGAGAGUGGAGUGGUGUCCGUUGUCGCGACUUGUCAGAGAGUUCGGGUCGGACGGCUGAAGCUCGGUUGGGACGUCUGGUGGAGCAGAAUAGCUCUCCGUCUCAGCAAUCUAAGAGAAGCUCGGAUGUUUUCGAGGUUGCUGACGGGUUAAUUGUGGUUGGGUGCCGUUGGUGCUGCAGACGGAAGUCAUCUGCUGUAGAAGCUCGGACGGAAACUGCCUGUUGGAGAAGUCCGGCAGGAGUCCGAUUGCUGGAAAAAUCCGUCUGAAAUUUAUAUGAUGUAGAAGCUUAUCUGAGGGCUGUCCACUGGAGAGGUCCGGUUGCAUGAGAAAUUCGGCAGAAGGUCGACUUGAUAGCGAAAUUCGGAAGGCGCUGUAGAAGUUCAUCCACUGGAGGAGUCUGGAGGACACUGUGGAAGUCCGAUUGGCACUGUUGAAAGUGGAUGGCUCGGAG
rnacentral:lncRNA from 1 species